rnacentral:rRNA from 1 species
UACGUAGGAGGCAAGCGUUGUCCGGAAUUACUGGGCGUAAAGCGCGUGUAGGUGGUGGGACAAGUCUGCUGUGAAAGCGCCUGGCUUAACCGGGCGAGGUCGGCGGAAACUGUCCGACUAGAGGACGGUAGAGGGGGGUGGAAUUCCCGGUGUAGUGGUGAAAUGCGUAGAGAUCGGGAGGAACACCUGUGGCGAAGGCGGCCCCCUGGGCCGGCCCUGACACUGAGACGCGAAGGCGUGGGGAGCAGCAACGGG